rnacentral:rRNA from 1 species
UACGUAGGGUGCAAGCGUUAAUCGGAAUUACUGGGCGUAAAGCGUGCGCAGGCGGUUAUGUAAGACAGGUGUGAAAUCCCCGGGCUUAACCUGGGAACUGCAUUUGUGACUGCAUAGCUAGAGUCCGGUAGGGGAUCACGGAAUUCCUGGUGUAGCGGUGAAAUGCGCAGAUAUCAGGAGGAACACCGAUGGCGAAGGCAGGUCUCUGGGCUGACACUGACGCUCAUGCACGAAAGCGUGGGGAACAAACAGG